rnacentral:lncRNA from 1 species
GCGUUUCUUUAGUCUUCAUUUCCAGUCCUUGCCAAAUGGAGACUUGCAGAACUUUCGAGGUCUCCCUUUCAUCUAUGAGGCAGUAAGUAAUAAACCAUCUGCACCUACAACGUACCUACAACAGAUGAACAGAGUGCUGGGGCAAACAAGGCUAAAGGCAAAAUGAAGCUUGCUUCUAUGUAUUACUGCAACAUGAAUGAACGACAACACAGAAGGUAACUUUUAAGCCCAGUUAAUAUAGUGUUAACAAAUUUUAUUGAAAAAUGAAGCUUUGUAGUGUAGUGUAGUAGUUUGUAGCGUAAACACAG